rnacentral:lncRNA from 1 species
UUUUAGAACAACUCUCGUCUAGUCUAAGAUUUAGAACAUAUUUUAGAAUUGCUGGAGGCUGCUAUACGUCUGUUGCGAUUUAGGUAUUAUUCUGUUGCAAUUUGAGUAUUAUUCUGUAGAGUUCCGAGUUCAAUUUAUUAUCUGCAUGCGAUUUAUUAUUCUGUUGACUUGUUGAGUUCGAUUCUGCGUGCUUGUUAAUUUAUUAUUUGGGUAGAUUCUGUUGAAUUUAUCUAUAGGUCUUUACAGCCCAGCGCCAACUAGGAAGACAAGCAUAAUUAUAUACAACUUUGAAAAAAUGCUGGAUAGAUCUGUGAAAUAACACUUCAUUGUACAUCAUCCUUCCCUACCGGAUGCUGAAUCUGAAAAAUAAAAUUGAGAAUAUAAUGCUAUUUCUACAGAUGAUGAAGAUGAAGAUGAAGAUCGAAGAUGUUUAAUUUUAU